rnacentral:SRP_RNA from 1 species
GUCAGGUGUAGUAUUAUACUCUCGUAAUCCUUGCUACUGAGGGAGACUGAGGCUGGUGGAUCCCUUUAGUUUAGGAGUUCUGACCUGCAGCAGGGUUGAAGCCAAUUGAGUGACCACGUUGUCUGGCACCAAUAUGAUGAACCCCCAGGACAGGAGGGCCACCAGGCUGCCUGUGGAGCCAUGAACCAGCCUAGGUCAGAAGAAUGGAGCAGGUUAAAACUUCAACAGCAGUCAGCCUUGAGAUCAGGCACAUGAAUAGCUGAUGCACUUCCAAAAAUAGGAAGACCUAGUCUCA